GGGGAUUUAGCUCAGCGGUAGAGCACUUGCCUAGCAAGUGCAAGGUCCUGGGUUCGGUCCCCAGCUCCG
rnacentral:tRNA from 1 species